rnacentral:rRNA from 1 species
ACGGGUGAGUAAUGUAUCGGAACGUGCCUAGUAGCGGGGGAUAACUACGCGAAAGCGUAGCUAAUACCGCAUACGCCCUACGGGGGAAAGCAGGGGAUCGCAAGACCUUGCACUAUUAGAGCGGCCGAUAUCGGAUUAGCUAGUUGGUGGGGUAACGGCUCACCAAGGCGACGAUCCGUAGCUGGUUUGAGAGGACGACCAGCCACACUGGGACUGAGACACGGCCCAGACUCCUACGGGAGGCAGCAGUGGGGAAUUUUGGACAAUGGGGGAAACCCUGAUCCAGCCAUCCCGCGUGUGCGAUGAAGGCCUUCGGGUUGUAAAGCACUUUUGGCAGGAAAGAAACGUCAUGGGUUAAUACCCCGUGAAACUGACGGUACCUGCAGAAUAAGCACCGGCUAACUACGUGCCAGCAGCCGCGGUAAUACGUAGGGUGCAAGCGUUAAUCGGAAUUACUGGGCGUAAAGCGUGCGCAGGCGGUUCGGAAAGAAAGAUGUGAAAUCCCAGAGCUUANCUUUGGAACUGCAUUUUUAACUACCGGGCUAGAGUGUGUCAGANGGAGGUGGAAUUCCGCGUGUAGCAGUGAAAUGCGUAGAUAUGCGGAGGAACACCGAUGGCGAANGCAGCCUCCUGGGAUAACACUGACGCU